CCAAGGUAAGGAAGCUAUGAACUGUUGCCUGUACUUGGUCACCUGGGUAGCAGGGAGCCAAUAGUGAAACCAACCUUUGCGG
rnacentral:ncRNA from 1 species